UACGUAGGGUGCAAGCGUUGUCCGGAAUUAUUGGGCGUAAAGAGCUCGUAGGCGGUCUGUCGCGUCGGCUGUGAAAACCCGGGGCUCAACCCCGGGCCUGCAGUCGAUACGGGCAGACUAGAGUGCGGUAGGGGAGACUGGAAUUCCUGGUGUAGCGGUGAAAUGCGCAGAUAUCAGGAGGAACACCGGUGGCGAAGGCGGGUCUCUGGGCCGAUACUGACGCUGAGGCGCGAAAGCAUGGGGAGCGAACAGG
rnacentral:rRNA from 1 species